rnacentral:tRNA from 1 species
GGGGGCGUAGCUCAGUUGGUAGAGCAACGGCCUUUUAAGCCGAGGAGCGGGAGUUCGAGCCUCCCCGCCCCCA